AUACGUAGGGGGCGAGCGUUGUCCGGAAUUACUGGGCGUAAAGGGUGCGUAGGCGGCCCAUUAAGUCAUGUGUGAAAAACCUGGGCUUAACCGAGGUAUUGCAUGUGAAACUGGUGGGCUUGUGUGCAGGAGAGGGAAGUGGAAUUCCUAGUGUAGCGGUGAAAUGCGUAGAGAUUAGGAGGAACACCAGUGGCGAAGGCGGCUUUCUGGCCUGUAACUGACGCUGAGGCACGAGAGCGUGGGGAGCAAACAGGAUUAGAUACCCUGGUAGUCCACGCUGUAAACGAUGGAUACUAGGUGUAGGCUGCGGUUUAAGCGGUCUGUGCCGGAGUUAACGCAAUAAGUAUCCCGCCUGGGGAGUACGGCCGCAAGGUUGAA
rnacentral:rRNA from 1 species